rnacentral:rRNA from 1 species
AGGGCGUAUGGUGAAUGCCUUGACACUAAAAGACGAAGAAGGACGUUGCAGAGUGCGAUAAGCCUCGGGGAGCUCUCAAGCAAGCUUUGAUCCGGGGAUUUCCGAAUGGGGAAACCCUCCUAACUAUGUUAGGAAUCAUAUACUGAAUUCAUAGGUGUAUGAAGAAGACCUGGCGAAGUGAAACAUCUCAGUAGCCAGAGGAAAAUAAAUCGAAGAGAUUCCCUUAGUAGUGGCGAGCGAAAUGGGAAAAGUCUAAACCAUAUAAAUGUUUUUGUGGUAAUAGGUUGGUCUUCGGAUUAACUUUGAACUGCGAUUUAAAGGACAGACCGUUGUUUAUAUGGAGUUGUAAGACAAUAAUGCUGACUUUCUGUAUGUCAGGUAAGAGAUUAAUUUUUAGUAGAAUGUUCUGGAAAGAACAACCAAAGAGGGUAAUAGUCCCGUAUAUAAAAAGAGUUAAUUAAUUAUGGUUAUUGUUCUUGAGUAGGACGGAACUCGUGAAAUUCCGUCUGAACCUGGGCCGACUAUGGUCUAAGACUAAAUACUUUUAGUGAUCGAUAGUGGACAAGGCUUAAACCCCUCUGGGGUGGAGGCGCAGCGAAAGCGAGUCUUAACGGGCGCACCAGUGCUACGCACUGUAAAUCCGAAGCACGAAAUCCGAAAUCCGAAACACAAAUUGUCGUUUCGAAUUUCGAUAUUCGAAUUUCGAGUUUUCAGCGCGUAGCGCUGAAGUGGCACGCAUAUAACCCGAAACCGGGUGAGCUAUCCAUGGCCAGGAUGAACCUUCUAGAAAUAGAAGGGGAGGUCCGAACACACGAGCUGUGCAACACUCGGUGAUGAGUUGUGGAUGGGAGAGAAAUUCUAAUCGAACUCGGUAAUAGCUGGUUUUCCUCGAAAUAUAUCUAGGUAUAGCCUUGAGUGUUUCUGCUGGUGGUAGAGCACUGGAUGAGAAUUGGGUCCUUCGGGAUACCGUUUUCAAUCAAACUCCGAAUACCAGUAGCCAAAACUCAGGAGUCAGGCAGCGAGGGCUAAGCUCCGUUGCCAAAAGGGGAACAGCCCAGAUCGCUAGCUAAGGUCCCUAAAUCUAUAUUAAGUGUAUCUAAGGUGGUUUUAAUUCUCAUACAACCAGGAGGUUGGCUUAGAAGCAGCCAUCCUUUAAAGAAAGCGUAAUAGCUCACUGGUCAAGAGUUUUAGCGCCGAAAAUGUACGGGACUCAAAUAUAGUACCGAAGCUGCGAACCAGUGCGAAGCACUGAGAAAUUCAAAAAUCAAAUAUCAAAAUGCAAAAUUAAUGAGUCGCUACGCGACAAUUUAUUAUAAAAUUGUGAGUGAAGCGAACACCAAAAUUUUAAUUUUUGAUUUUUACAUUUUGAUUUUUCAGCGUUUCGCGCUGGUGGUAGAGGAAUGUUCCUAGCGCGCUGAAGCCAUAGACGCGAGUCACGGUGGAGUGCUAGGAAGUAAGAAUGCAGGCAUAAGUAGCAAAAAGCCAGGUGCGAAUCCUGGCCGCCAAAAAUCCGAGGUUUCCUGGGCAACGAGAAUCGCCCCAGGGUUAGUCGAUCCUAAGGCCAGGCCGAAAGGCGUAACCGAUGGAAGAGCAGGUUAAUAUUCCUGCACUGUAUAUAGUUUGGUUUUUAUUGCACAUCUUAAAACUUUUAGCGUAUUUUGGUUAUAUACGUGUCGCAAGACGGAGACGAAGCCUUCGGGUAGAGUCAAGUAAAGGCGGCGAGGUGUCUAGAAAAGGUAAAAAUCGUUAAGCUAUAUAUAACCGUACCGUAAACCGACACAGGUGGAUAGGUCGAGUAGACCAAGGCGUAUGAGAGAACCCUCGUUAAGGAACUCUGCAAUACAGCGGCCGUAACUUCGGGAUAAGGCCUGCCUGUUUUUACAGGUUACAACAAAAGACCAACUGCGACUGUUUACCAAAAACACAGCUCCCUGCUAAAUCGUAAGAUGAUGUAUAGG